rnacentral:rRNA from 1 species
CUGGUUGAUCCUGCCAGUAGUCAUAUGCUUGUUUCAGAGAUUAAGCCAUGCAAGUCUGAGUUUAAGAUCUUUUGAACGAAACUGCGAAUGGCUCAUUAUAACAGUGAUAACCUAUGCGAAAAUAAAACUACACGGAUAACUGUGGUAAUUCUGGAGCUAAAACGUGAACCUUUUCGGAGGUCUUACGCAUUGGAUUCAAACCAAGUAGCCUGGCUACAUUUGUUGAUCCACAAUGCUGUGAUUAAUCGCUUGUCGAGAGUUCGCUUGGGUUUCUGACCUAUCAGCUUUUGAUGGUAUGGUAUUGGCCUACCAUGGCUAUGACGGGUAACGGGGAAUUAGGGUUUGAUUCCGGAGAGGGAGCUUGAGAGAUGGCUACCACAUCUAAGGAAGGCAGCAGGCGCGCAAAUUACCCACUCUUAAAUUAAGGAGGUGGUGACAAAAAAUAUCGAUGAUUGGCAUUUUAUGUCAACAAUCGGAAUGAGCGAUGUUUAAGAACAUCGCAAGUAACAAUUGGAGGGCAAGUCUGGUGCCAGCAGCCGCGGUAAUUCCAGCUCCAAUAGCGUAUAUUAAAGUUGUUGCAGUUAAAACGCUCGUAGUUGAAGUUUUUAUCACUUUUGCAUUCGCCAAAUCUAUUUGGUGCGUGCGGGUGUACUCUGUCCACGGCUUCGACCGAGGUACAGUGUUACUUUGAGAAAAUUAGAGUGUUUCAAGCAGGUCUGUGCUAGAAUAUUACAGCAUGGAAUAACAGUUCAAGGCCCUUGUGUUGACUGUUGGUUUGUCAAACUUGGAGCUAUGGUUAAUAGAAACCGCUGGGGGUAUUCGUAUUCGAAGGUCAGAGGUGAAAUUCUUAGAUUCUUUGAAGACGAACAACUGCGAAGGCAUCUACCAAGGAUGUUUUCAUCAAUCAAGAACGAAAGUUAAGGGAUCGAAGACGAUCAGAUACCGUCGUAGUCUUAACUAUAAACUAUACCGACUAAUAAUCGGAAGACGUACUAUCCGUACACUUUCAGAAAUUUUCGAGAAAUCAAAGUUUUUGGGUUCUGGGGGGAGUAUGGUCGCAAGGCUGAAACUUAAAGGAAUUGACGGAAG